GAAGUACUCCCUCCGUUCGAAAUUAUUUGUCGUGGAAAUGAAUGUAUCUAGACGUAUUUUAGUUCUAGAUACAUCCAUUCUCGAGACAAGUAAUUCCGAACGGAGGGAGUAGAAG
rfam:Triticum aestivum genome assembly, contig: Triticum_aestivum_CS42_TGACv1_scaffold_161433_2DL